GUCUAAAAUUCAAGUUUUCCUGCAUUCCAGGCGUAAUUUUAAAGAAGUCAUAAACAACAGGUUGGUUGUUUUGGUCAGCCAAGAAGAAUGCACUCAAGUUCCUCCUACUAGAUUGGGUAUUCCUGACUUUAAAGGUUCCUACCUUGGAGUCCAGUAGCUAGGUGGCGCAAUGGAUAGAAAAGAGUGCUGGAUUUGAAGGCAGGAAGACUCAUUUAGUCUUCCCGGGUUCAAUUGUAACCUCAAGACACUUACAAGGUGUGUGACCCCCGGGUAAGGAGGCUAACUUCCACACCCUUCAGAAUGUGGGAUCGUCUGUUCACUGAUCUCACAAGUUCUCUGGAGGGAACAUCUGGACAAGUUUUCCUUCCAGACAAUACCAGUUGGGAUGACUCAAACUGUGGCUUAACAAGGUUGGUCAUGGGCCUAGACCAAAGUUCAUCACUGUCUGGACAGCAUGUGUGCUCUAUUGGUAUCCACACAGUUGCUGAGUGGACCACCUAUGGAGGACUUUAUGAUGUUAACAACUAAAAGGGUCAUCCAGUGAAAGAUGGAUGGAGUUCAUAAAAUGGUGGAUACUGUUCUGAUUAUUUAGAAUUAUUCAUGAAGAAGAAUGAUACAACAGUUCACUUUCAAAGGCCACUAGUGAAUCAUCAUAAGGUUAGCAAAAAAAUAAGAAAUGCCCAUUCAUAUAGCACUACAAAACUGAGUCAUUCUAUUUUUAAAAUAAUUUUAUCAAUAUAUUUUAUUUGUAUAUUGCUUAAAUUCCCCCAAUAUUCUUCCUCUCUUUUUUUAGAGAGCCAUCCUGUAUAGCAAAGAACGUUAAAAAAUAAUUAAUAGAAGAAAAGGGAAAAAAAUCAGCAAAAAUAUCUGACAGCACAUACAACAUUCCAUACUAAUGGAUCAUCCCUGUUUCUCACCUCUGGAGAAGAGCUAGGGAAGUUAUUGUUGUUGGUUUUUUUCUCAUAAAUUUUCUCAUAAUUUCUUUGGACCUCAGCUACUCUUUUAAAUUUUGCAACAUUAUUUUUCAAUUUUUUUUGUGGUCCUUUUCUAUCUCUAAAUCUAUGAUCUGCUGAAUGAUCAGUCUGCUCAUAGUUUGCUUCUCUUUUUGCUUUCCUAUUGGUGGAUAUCAGAAUAAGUUACUUUCAACUCAAUGAACAGAACCAAGGAUUUUCACUUUUUAUUGUUUUCUGAUGUUUAUCACAAUAUGUCUAUUUUUAUUCAAGCCCCCAAGAUAGCUUCCAUAUUCUUAAUUGUUGAACUCCUUAUACUUAUAAUGGUUAUCAGUAGAUAUGCUUUUAUUAGAAACUAUGGGGAAUUUUUAUCCUCAGAAUAAGUAAUAAUAGUUAUGGUGGUGGUGGCACUAGCAAUAGUUGCUUACAUUUAUAUAGCUCUAAAUGUGCACAAAGUACUUUAUAUAUAACUAUGUUUCUGUCAUCUCUGAUGUUGUUGACUCUUUCUCUUAUUAUUUUCCAUAUUGUUCCUGGAUUUCAAGAAUGGCUAAUAGUUCUUUGAAACUUGUAGCUCCUGU
ensembl:lncRNA